rnacentral:tRNA from 1 species
GCCAGGUUAGCUCAGAUGGUAAGCAUCAGACUUUUAAUCUGAGGGUCAUGGGUUCGAGCCCCAUAUCGGGCG